ensembl:lncRNA
CAAUGGAGCUCUAUGGGGCUCUGUGUGGCUCUAUGGGGCUCUCUGGGCUUUCUGGGGCUCUAUAAGGCGGGUAUGGUGAUUUUCGCUUAAAUGGGGGAUUUGCGAAGAGAAAACGCAUGAUUUUUGGUUAAAUGGGGGAUUUGCGAGGAGAAAACACGUGAUUUUCGCUUAAAUGGAGGGUUCUCAAAGAGAAAACACGUGAUUUUUGCUUAAAUGUGGGAUUCUCAAAGAGAAAACACGUGAUUUUCGCUUAAAUGGGGGAUUCUCGAAGAGAAAACGCGUGAUUUCCGCUUAAAUGGGGGUUUCUCAACGAGAAAAUGUGUGAUUUUCGGGUUAAAUGGGGGAUUUGCGAAGAGAAAACGCGUGAUUUUCGGGUUAAAUGGGGGAUUUGCGAAGAGAAAACGCGUGAUUUUCGGGUUAAAUGGGGGAAUGGCGAAGAGAAAAUGUGUAAUUUUUGGGUUAAAUGGAGGAUUUGUGAAGAGAAAACGCGUAAUUUUUGUGUUAAGUGGAGGAUUUCGAAGAGAAAAUGCGUGAUUUUCGGUUAAAUGGGGGUUCUUGAAGACAAAAUACGUGAUUUUCGGGUUAAAUGGGGGAUUUGUGAAGAGAAAACGCGUGAUUUUCGCUUAAAUGGGGGAUUUGCAAAGAGAAAACGCGUGAUUUUGGGUUAAAUGGGGGAUUCUCGAAGAGAAAACGCGUGAUUUUCGCUUAAAUGGGGGAUUCUUGAAGAGAAAACGCGUGAUUUUCGCUUAAAUGGGGGAUUUGCAAAGAGAAAACGCGUGAUUUUGCUUAAAUGGGGGAUUUGCGAAGAGAAAACGCGUGAUUUUCGCUUAAAUGGGGGAUUUGCGAAUAGAAUACGUGUGAUUUUCGCUUAAAUGGGGGAUUUGCGAAGAGAAAACGCGUGAUUUUUGGUUAAAUGGGGGAUUUGCGAAGAGAAAACACGUGAUUUUCGCUUAAAUGGGGGAUUUGCAAAGAGAAAAUGGGUGAUUUGCAGGUUAAAAUUGGGAUUUUCCGCAGAGAAAAUGCAAGAUUUUCAGGUUAAAUGGUGGAUUUUCAAAGUGGCAUUGCGUGAUUUUCGGGUUAAAUGGGGGAUUCUUGAAGAGAUAAUGCAUAACUUUUGCGUAAAUGGGGGAUUUUCGAAGAGAAAAUGCGUGAUUUUCCCACUAAAUGGGGGAUUCUCGAAGAGAGAGUGUGAUUUUCAGUUAAAUGGGGGAUUUUUGUAGAGAAAAUACGUGAUUUUCGGGUAAAUGGCGGAUUCUCAAAGAAAUAAUUCAUAAUUUUCGGUUAAAUAGGGUAUUUUCAAAGAGAAAAUGCCUGAUUUUAAUGUAAAAUAUGGUGGUUUUGGAAUGAAAAUGCGUGAUUUUCGACUGAAGUUUGGGGUUUUUUUUAUUUGUUUGUUUUGUUGAAAAUGCGUGACUUGCGCGCAGAAUAUCGUAUUUUUGGAGUGAAGAUCUUGUGGGUGAAAAUUUCUUUUUUUCGCGGAGCACGUUUCAUUUUCGGGAUAAAGUUGGUAUUUUGGGGGAGCAGGCUGUCCUCAAAGGCAGUUGGUGACAUUUCUAAUAGAUAGGGGAGCUCGGAAUUCUGUAGUGAUACAGCAAGAGGCUGAGAAGCUGUAUGUGGAGCAAAAGGGCUGAGAUUCCUGUUGUGAACGGAGUGAAGUGCUGUUUGCCAAACUGACAGGGUCAGCUUAUGGCUGACCGGUGAGAAUCGUGUCAUCUACUCGCUUUGCAAUCGAAGACCAUUGUGAAGAUACUGUAGGAUUUGUUGUCUUCAUUGGGUAAACCCGGCACCUCCUGUCUGGCAGCGUGUAGCCUUUUGGCUCAAACAUCGAUCCCAAACCCCAAAGAAAUAGGGAGGCUGCAGCGUGAGUCCUUCGUGCAGCCCCCGCACUCCUUAAAUCAGAGAUGACUGACGAUACUGCAGUACCCCAUUUCUGCUGCGGCACGACGUGGGAUUUCUGAAGUCACGGCAGGUUUGGAGAAACGACAAAUCAUCUCCAGAAUGCGCUCCCUGAACAACCUGCCCCACAUGCAUGGGGCACAAGCCCCAUUUUGGGGGCAAUGACCCCCACUUGUGGGGCGCUACCCCCGCCCCCACUGUCACAGCUGUGCCCCGAGGACACCAUCACCCCACUGCACAUGGCCAUCAACUUCUCCCUGGACUUCACGCACCCCACGGUGACAUUGGCGUGGAGCGAAGUGGAGCAGGGGACAUGGGGGGGCUUGAGGGGACAUGGGGACAUGAGGGGACGUGUGGGGACACAGGGACAUGGGGGGACACGGGGACGUGGGGUUGAAGUGUGGGGUCAGAACUACAGACUACAGAGACAAGGUGACAUGCGGAGGUGAUGCAGGCAGGUGGGUUCUAGGGCCUGGCGCAUGCGUAGUGGGGUCUCAAGAGCUGUAAACUUAGGUGGAGAACUGCAGCUUCCACUAAUUUUUGUGGAAACAACAUAAUGGCCCACACGAACCUCAGAACUGCAGCAUGGCACAGUGUCUGCCUGUUUAGACCUGCCAGUGCCUGCAAUGGGGCCUUGCUAGGGCCUGCAAUAGGGCCUGCAAUGGGGCCUUGCUAGGGCCUGCAAUGGGGCCGUGCUAGGGCCUGCAAUGGGGCCUGCAAUGGGGCCUUGCUAGGGCCUGCAAUGGGGCCUUGCUCGGGCCUGCAAUGGGGCCUGCAAUGGGGCCUUGCUAGGGCCUGCAAUGGGGCCUUGCUGGGGCCCACAAUGGGGCCUGCAAUGGGGCCUUGCUAGGGCCUGCAAUAAGGCCUGCAAUGGGGCCUUGCUAGGGCCUGCACAUGCGCCAGCUCCGAGACCCCACUUUGCGUGGGCCUGGGUAAUGGAGGGACUGGGAAGGAUUGGCUGUGACUGGGGGGCACUGGGAAAGUCUGGGAGGGGUAUUGGGGACACUGGGAGGAACUGGGGGGGACUGGGAGAGGUAACAGAGACACUGGGAGGGGUAAUGGGGGCACUGGGAUGGACUGGGAUGGCACUGGGGGGACUGGAAUGGGAUUGGGGGACGUGGGGGGGACUGGGGGGCACUGCAAAGGGACUGGGAUGGGAAUGGAAGGGGAUUGGGGGGGCACUGGGAUGGGAAUGGGGGGUGCUGGGAAGGACUGCGGGGCACUGGAAGGGAAUUGGGGGGGGGGGACUGGGAGGGAUCUGGGGAACACUGGGAGGGAAUUGGGGGGGGCUGUGGGGGCACUGGGAGAGACUGGGAAGGACUGGGAGGGUAAGUGGGUGUAGUGGGGGGCACUGGAAGGGAAUGGAGGGGGCUGGGAGAGAAAUGGGGGGCUGUGGGGACACUGGGAGGGGUUGGGGGUCACUGAGAGGAGGAAUGGAGGGCACUGGGAGGGACCUGGGAGGGAAAUGGAAGGCUGGGGGGGCACUGGGAGAGAAAUGAGGGGGGGGCUGUGGGGCACUGGAAGUGACUGGGAGGGUAAAUGGGGGCCUGGGGGACCACUGGGGGGACCCUACAGCAUUUCACUUCCCCCCACCCCCCCCCGAAAAUUCAUCCUUGCCCCCCCACACCUUGGGGGGCACACACACUCCACCCCCCCCCUCAAAAAUAUGGGGGGGGGGUGUCUUUUAAAGGGCUAUCCCCCCCUGCGAGACCACUAAAUCUGGGGGGGGCAUCUGUCUGUCCCGUUCUGCUGUGGGGGGCACCCCCAGAAUGGUGCCCCAUGCUUCCCCAAUUAACCCCCCUUCCCCCCUCCCCCCCCCACUGUACAAUAAGAGCUCUUUACUCUUCUACGGAUGUCUCCAUAUAUUUUUUGGGGGGGAGGGACCCUCAAUUUGAGGGUCCCCAAAUGGAGGGGGGAGGGGGGGGAUAUAGAGGGGGGGGUGGUCACCGGGGGGGGCGGCGCCUCCACCAGCGCUCCAAAGCUUCACGCCAACCCCCCCCUCCCACCCCUGGGACCCCCAACCCCAUCCAACGGCCUCGAGGGGUCCCCCCCACACUUGUGGGGCGUGGAAGGACCUGAGGGGGGGAAGAUAGGGGGGAGGGGGGUCACUGUGUGUCACCAGUGCGGCCCCACUGAACCCAUAAAGACCCCAGUGUGACCCCAACGCCCCAUAGAGACCCCAUUGACCCCACAGAGCCACAGAGACCCCAUAAUGCCCCAGAGACACCAUUGACCCCAUAGAGACCCCCCAAUGCCCCAUAAAGACCCCAAUGAGACCCCAGUGUGUCCCCAGUGUCCCCAUACAGACCCCAUUGUCCCCAGUGACUUCAGUGUGAUCUCAAUGUGCCCAUAGAGACCCCAUGGAGACCCCAAUGGCCCAUAAAGACCCCACUGACCCCAUAAAGACCCCAGUGUCCCACAGAGACCCCAAUGUGACCCCAGUGUCACCACUGAACCCCAUACAGACCCCAUUGUCUCCUGCGUCACCCAGUGUGACCUCACUGUCCCCAGGGAGCCCUAUAGAAACCCCAUUGUCCCCACAGACCCCAAUGUCCCCAUAGAGACCUCAGUGUGACCCCCCUGUCUCCAAUGUGACCUCCAUGUCCCCAUACAGACCCCGCUGUUUUCAGAGUGACCUCAGUUUGAUCUCAGUGUCCCCAUAGAGACCCCACUGACACCCACAGAGACCCCAGCGUGACCUCAAUUUCCCCAUAGAGACCCGCUCUGCCCCCCACCCCAUAGCCCCCCCCAUACCAACAGCUGGAACUCAUCACUCAUCCUUCGCAGCUCCCGGCCAUAUUUCCGUGCUGCCCAUAGGACGGGGGGGGCAGAGCGGGAACGGCCUCGAAAUGUGGGGGGGGGGUCCCCACCUCCUGACCCCCCCCCUCCACCUUCUGCAAUGGAGGGGAUUGGGGGGGAAGAGUGAGGGAUGCUGGACCCCAAAACUGGGGGAGGGCUCCUAAAGGGAGAGGUUUAAUAGGGGAUUUAUUGGGGGGGGGGGGAUAAUAGGAGUUUUUUGGGGGGUGUAUUGGGGGGGUUAAUUUGGGGUCCCUGAAAUGUUGGGGGAGGAGAAAGGGGUGGUCAGCACUGCUGGACCCCAAAACUGGGGGGACCCCAGAAUUGGAGGGGGGGGCAAUCUAAAGGGUGAGGCUCAAUGGAAGAAUUAAUUGGGGGGGGGGUCUUAAUUGGGGCGGUCACAAUGGGGGGGGACCCAAUGAGGAGUCCUAAGUAGGGGCUUCAAAAGAAGAAGGGUUUUAAGGACAGGGUCCAAACUGGGGGGGGUCCUAAUAGGGGGGAGUCCCAAUGAGGGGUCCCAAGUAGGGCUUCAAAAGGUGGGGGGGGAAGGGGGGGGACACGUCCUAAGGACAGGGUCCGAAUUGGGGGGGGGUCCCAAUGGAAGGGGUCCUAAGGACAGGGAUCCAAUGUGUGUGGGGGGGUCCUUAUAGGGGGGUCCCAUUGGAGGGUCCUAUGUGGGGGCUCCAAAACAGGGGGGGUCCUAAGGACAGGGUUCCAACGUGGGGGGUGGGGGGGAGGGGUGUCCUAAUAGGGGGGUUCCAAUGGGGGGGUUUCUAUGAACAGAAUACCACUGGGGGGGGGCGAGGGGGGGGGUGUCACCUGUGGGAGUGGCAGCGGGGCUGGAACCAGAGCUGCCCCCCCAGGGGGAUUCGGGGGGGUCCCGGUGGCAGGGGCCAGGCAGGGGUGGGGGCUGCGGCUCCUCCGGGAACUCCUCAAUGCUAAACAUGGUCAGGGCAUGGUGGCCUGGAGGGAAGGGGGGGAGAGACCCCCAUGUUACCCCAAAAUCAGCCUCCCCCACCCCCAAAAUCCCACUCAGUGAGGCCGAAAAUGCCCCCCCCCCCCCCCCAAUGAACGCCCGCCCCAAAAGAAUCCCUGAAGCACCUCCAGAAAACCCCAAAAUGUCUCUAAAUGAGGGCAAAAUGAACCUCAAAAUGACUCCCAAAGCACACAGUGACCCCCAAAGCGACCCACCCUCACCCCAACCCCCCCUCGCCCCAAACAACCCCCUAAGACGCCCAAAAUGAUCUAAAAAUCUCCCAAAAUGAC